GGACUACUGGGGUAUCUAAUCCCGUUCGCUACCCUGGCUUUCGCGCAUCAGCGUCAGUAAAGGCCCAAGAAGCCGCCUUCGCCACCGGUGUUCCGACUGAUAUCUACGCAUUUCACCGCUACACCAGCCAUUCCACUUCUCUCUACCUCACUCAAGACUAUCAGUAUGAGAGGCAGUCCCCGGGUUGAGCCCUGGAAUUUCACCUCUCACUUAAUAACCCGCCUACGCGCGCUUUACGCCCAGUAACUUCGGACAACGCUCGCUCCCUACGUAUUACCGCGGCUGCUGGCAC
rnacentral:rRNA from 1 species